rnacentral:rRNA from 1 species
GGUAGGCUAGCGCACAGGGGUGACACGGAAUGGGAGCCGGCCGCGGAGGUGGUUUUCCGUGGUCAAGCACGCAGCCCGUCCCAUAGGCAAAUCCGUGGGACGCAUAGGGUGAGGUGUGAUGAUGGGCGUCCUUUGGACGCGAUAUCCGGUGGUCCAGGCCGUCGAGAAAAGCCUCGGCGCGAGGGGCGUCGCCGCCCGUACCCCAAACCGACACUGGUGGUCAGGUAGAGAAUACCAAGGCGAUCGAGCGAAUCCUGGUCAAGGAACUCGGCAAAUCACUCCCGUGCCUUCGGUAUAAGGGAGACCCCCGGGCGUGAAGAGGCUUGCCCUCGGAGCGUUGGGGGGUGGCACAGACCAGGGGGUAGCGACUGUUUACCAAAAACACAGGUGCAUGCGAAGGCGCAAGCCGCUGUAUAUGCACUGACGCCUGCCCGGUGCCGGAAGGUUAAGAGGAUCCGUCAGCCCCUUUUGGGGUGAAGCGGUGAAUUCAAGCCCCGGUAAACGGCGGUGGUAACUAUAACCAUCCUAAGGUAGCGAAAUUCCUUGUCGGGUAAGUUCCGACCUGCACGAAUGGCGUAACGACUUCCCCACUGUCUCGACCAGGAGCUCGGCGAAAUUGCAGUACGAGUAAAGAUGCUCGUUAAGCGCAGAAGGACGAAAAGACCCCGGGACCUUUACUAUACCUUGGUAUUGGCGUUAGGCGCGGAUUGUGUAGCAUAGGCGGGAGGCUUCGAAGCGUGGGCGCCAGCCCGUGUGGAGCCGCAAGGUGAAAUACCGCUCUGUUCUCGUUUGACGUCUCACCUCGGACAGUCAUCCUGUUCAGGGACAGUGCCUGGCGGGUAGUUUAACUGGGGCGGUUGC